GGGACCUUCGGGCCUCUCGCGUCAGGAUAUGCCUAGGUGGGAUUAGCUAGUUGGUGAGGUAAGGGCUCACCAAGGCGACGAUCCCUAGCUGGUCUGAGAGGAUGAUCAGCCACACUGGAACUGAGACACGGUCCAGACUCCUACGGGAGGCAGCAGUGGGGAAUAUUGCACAAUGGGCGCAAGCCUGAUGCAGCCAUGCCGCGUGUGUGAAGAAGGCCUUCGGGUUGUAAAGCACUUUCAGUCGUGAGGAAGGU
rnacentral:rRNA from 1 species